rnacentral:rRNA from 1 species
CCUACGGGGGGCAGCAGUAAGGAAUAUUGGUCAAUGGACGCAAGUCUGAACCAGCCAUGCCGCGUGAAGGAUGAAGGUCCUCUGGAUUGUAAACUUCUUUUAUAGGGGAAGAAAUCUCUUGAUUCUUCAGGAGUUGACGGUACCCUAGGAAUAAGCACCGGCUAACUCCGUGCCAGCAGCCGCGGUAAUACGGAGGGUGCAAGCGUUAUCCGGAUUCACUGGGUUUAAAGGGUGCGUAGGAGGACAGGUAAGUCAGUGGUGAAAUCUUCGAGCUUAACUUGGAAACUGCCGUUGAUACUAUCUGUCUUGAAUAUUGUGGAGGUGAGCGGAAUAUGUCAUGUAGCGGUGAAAUGCUUAGAUAUGACAUAGAACACCAAUUGCGAAGGCAGCUCGCUACACAUAUAUUGACUCUGAGGCACGAAAGCGUGGGGAUCAAACAG